rnacentral:lncRNA from 1 species
AAAUACAUUCUUUUUGUGAUUUUAAAAGAUAAAGCGUGUUAUUGUGAGAAAACAUGUACUUAUAUGUACUUAUGUAUAAUUUCAUGAAAAGUACAUGUAAACAACAACAACAAAACAGCAAUCUGCUCAUUGCCAAAAGAGAAAGUAUUCCCAUUGAGUACUAAACAACCACAAAUGUUUCCAUAAUCUGCUAUUUCAGAUAGUUUCAUGGGACCAAUUCCAGCAAGAUAUUAGAGGAUAUUUUAAAGCUUCUUGAAUCUGUAAAGUUACUAUGCACUAUAUUUAUUUUAAGACUUUAGGC